GUUGAAGAGACACUCCACAGGCUGUAUGCAUGCUAUGAAGAGAUGACGACUCCAAUCACUCCACCAUCGGCUUCAUCAAAGGAGGCUACCAAAAAUAGUAGUUCAAGUCCUUCACAACCUGCUUUCGAUCUUUCUAAACAAAUUCCUUCUAUUUUUAAAGCUAAACUUAUGCAAAACAUGCAAUCUGAGAAGAAUGAUUUGGUUGAUUAUUUGUCUGAUCGUUGUGAAGAUUUAACCGAUCCCAAAUUUGACGUAUUAGUAUGGUGGAAAUUGAACGCGCACAAGUACAAAAUUCUCUCUAAAAUUGCCAAAGAUGUAUUAGCAAUUCAAAUAUCCACGGUUGCUUCAGAGUCGGCAUUUAUCACGAGUGGUUGGAUUCUUGACUCCUUUAGGAGUUCAUUGAGUGCAAAGAUGGUUGAUG
rnacentral:lncRNA from 1 species